AUAAGGAUAAAGGUGAGGGAAGGGGAAGAGGCGGGAUAAGGAUAAAGGUGAGUAAGAGUAAGAGGAUUAGAAAAGUAUAGCAAAAGGAAAGGAGAGAACAGCACCAGUUAAAAGCAUGAGAUAGGCAGGCAGCCAAGAAGAAACCAGAAGAAAGGUAAUGGUGUAUGUGUUUAACUUCAUCUUUUGGACGUUCUAUAAUUGGUUUUGUUAUAUAUUAUUUGGGUAUCCUUUAUUUAUUUUUGCUGUUUUAUUUUCCUUUUUUUUCAAAUGUAGUUAUUUUAACAAAAUGUUAUCUAAUACUAAUACCAUAGGUACAACUUAAUUUUUUUUGGUAUUCAUAAAAUCACAAGUAGUUUGAGAAUAUACUAAAUUCUUAGGGUACAAUAUGACGAAAGAAAUGAACUUCUUAAGAUGGGACAAAUUUCACAGGCAAGUGACAAGAAUAUAUGAUAAUUAAACAAAAUUUUUAAGAAAUUUUCCAAGUUAGUGAGCGUGUGCCAUUGCAUACCUUCCAUUAGUGAAAAAUUUGUUGUCCUUUGCUUUUGUUUUAAAUAACACGUUUUCAUAGAGAUUGGCAGCAAAAGUGAGAUACUAUUUUUACCUUUUAACCUCUUCUUUUGAAAUAAAUUUUUUUUUCAACAACAAUAAUUUUAAUGUUUUGAUUUGAAAUCUUAACAGGUCACAAUUCUAGUAUAAAAAUAUACAAGACGAUGCCACAUCCAAAUUCAGACUGCCACCACCUUGUAUGAUGAUCAAGUCCAAUGAUUCCAAGCUAUUUAUGUUGUCAACCAUCCUCAACCCCUGAAUCAACUUGAUUGGAUAUCAAAGAUGCCUUUCACUGCAUUUUUACCAUCUAGAAUGUGAAUUAUCAUAUGAUCUCCAUGUGCCAUGCCAAGAUCGCCCGCUUCUGCUUCUUUCAAACGAACUGGAAAAAUUAGA
rnacentral:lncRNA from 1 species